rnacentral:tRNA from 1 species
GAGGGUAGCUCAGUGGUAGAGUGCUUGCCUGGCACGUGCAAGGCCCUGGAUUCCAUCCCAGCCCUGCA